GACAGAGGAUGCAAGCGUUAUCCGGAAUGAUUGGGCGUAAAGCGUCUGUAGGUGGCUUUUCAAGUCCGCCGUCAAAUCCCAGGGCUCAACCCUGGACAGGCGGUGGAAACUACCAAGCUGGAGUACGGUAGAGGCGUGUGGAAUUCCGGGUGUAGUGGUGAAAUGCGUAGAGAUCCGGAGGAACACCAGUGGCGAAGGCGACACGCUGGGCCGUACCUGACACUGAUGCGCGACAGCAUGGGGAGCAAACAGG
rnacentral:rRNA from 1 species